CAUGUCCAAUUAAGAUGAGGUCAUACUAGAUUAGGGUAGGCCCUAAUCCAAUGACUGGUGUCCUUAUAGGAGGCCAUGUGAAGACACAAAGAGACACACAGGGAAGAAGACUAUGUAAAGACGGAGACAAAGACUGGAGUGAUGUAUCUCCAGGCUAAGGAAUGCCAUGGAUUGCUGGUGACCACCAAGGGCUAGGAGACAGACACGGAAGGACUGUCCCUUAGAGCCUCUGGAAGGAAGCCAUCCUGCCAACACCUUAAUUUUGGACUUCCAGCCUCUGGAACUGUCUGCAGCCCUUUCUUGGGAAUUCCCUGAGGCCAUGACCAGAGAGGGCAACGGGGUGUCUGGUGGACAAGGAGCCAAGAAGCAAGCAUUUAGCUCCCCUUUCAUUUUGGAAGAGACAGCCAGAGGCACAAUGGCUUUGGGGGCCUUUCAAGACUAUUGUGUCCAGUGCUACCUUAGCUAUGCGCCAGCCCAGACAAGGACCCAUUUCUGAGAUUAAAGGAACUGUCCAUCACCUCCAAGCCUGCGGAUUGUGGAGGCUCUUCUGUGGGCAAAUGAGAGGGCAACUUGUACCUAUCAUCAUGGAGAAACCCCUCUUCCAACCCAAACGCAUGUCCAAAAAGUAGGGCAUAAACACUGGCCAGGAACCAGCCCCACUACUACCUUGCUAUCCAACCUCAGAGAACUCACCCCUUGUGUCUGGUUCCUUGUCCGCACAAGGAGAACCGCGACCUGCCCAGCAGCCUCACAGUGUGGGACUCAAGAAGGUGUGAUUGUAUAUUGAACAGUACGAGGUCUCAGAUAAAUGUAAGGAGUCGCCUGAU